UGGGGAAUCAUAGACAAUGGGGGCAACCCUGAUCUUGCCAUGCCGCGUGGACGAUGAAGGCCUUAGGGUUGUAAAGUCCUUUCACCCGUGGAGAUAAUGACGGUAGCGGGAGAAGAAGCCCCGGCUAACUCCGUGCCAGCAGCCGCGGUGAUACGGAGGGGGCUAGCGUUGUUCGGAAUUACUGGGCGUAAAGCGCGCGUAGGCGGGCAUUUAAGUCGGGGGUGAAAUCCCGGGGCUCAACCCCGGAACUGCCUCCGAUACUGGAUGCCUAGAGGUCGAGAGAGGUGAGUGGAAUGGCGAGUGUAGAGGUGAAAUUCGUAGAUAUUCGCCGGAACACCAGUGGCGAAGGCGACUCACUGGCUCGAUACUGACGCUGAGGUGCGAAAGCGUGGGGGGCAAACA
rnacentral:rRNA from 1 species